CAUUUUAAAACACUUUAUUUUGUUCACUCUGUUCACACUGUAAUUAUGUUGUAAACAGUAUUUUAUUAUAUUUUACUCGUUCCUGAAUUGUUAAUCAUAUAUAAUAUAUAAUAUAUAUAAUAUAUAUGCACAUGGUGGACUUCAAGCCUGGUUGUGGGUUGUACUUCAGCCGGAUCUCUGGGCCCAGACCCGGCUGAGUCUUUGCCAGAAUAAUUUGAAUAACAGCAUAAGAAAAGUAAACUGAGGACGCAGAAACUUUUCAUACCUGUGACAGUUUUGGAAAUCAGGUGAACAGGAAACGGGGAGUGGAGGGAAGCACCGCGCCCGGCAAGGUCACUUUAAAUACGGAAGAUAAAAAGCAGGAAGGCCACGGCGAGCCCAUGCCUGUAUUUGAGUAGAGUCCGCAGUUAAAAUGCUCUGAAACGUCCAUCUUUUACAUCCUGUUUGCUCAAGGAAAUCAACUGGCCAAUACCAUGGUUGUGACGAAUGUGCGCAGCCUGGAGAAUACAUUAACAGACAUACCCAUGUACAAACGAUGCACUAAGGACAGACGAAUCAUUUGAAAACACGGUUGAUGAGAGUCAUCAUCAUGAGGGGCCACAUCCGUGUCAUGGCAGUGGUGUCGGCAUCACAAUUCCCUCUAGAUUAUAUGCAUUUAGUUUGUUUCGGUGUUGUUAGGCGAACGCUACACAUCUGGCUCAGAGGUCCUCUAAAUUUCAGCGUAUCUGCAAACACAGCAGACAGAACGUUGGCAAAACUGUUAGAAAUGCGUUCCUAUAAUCCAGCGGAGUUUGCCCCAAAGCCCAGAUUGCUGAGGGAAUUGGACCGUUGGGAGGGCACUGAAUUAAGGCGGUUUCUGCUGUUCACAGGGCCUGUAAUGCUACAGGCACCUUUCUGGACAGAAACAUGUACAGCAAUUUCAUGCUAUUGUUCUCAAGUGAUUUAAUAAGUCCUAGACUAUCCUGCCACACACAGUAUGCUCAUAUGUUACUGAGCUCUUUUCCAGAUUUAACAAACAUGUUGAUUAAAGUGUUGAUUGGUUAGCUCUAGAGGUGCAGGUGUGGAUUUUGAUACAUUUGGACAGUCGGGCUAGCUGUUUCCACCUGUUUCCAGUCUUUAUGCUAAGCUAAGAUAACCAGCUUCUUGCUGUGGCUUCAUAUUUACUGUUCAGAUAUGAGAGAUUUUAUAAUACAACUCAAAUAAGCACAUUUCCCAAAAUGGCGAACUUCUAUUCAAUUCAGUUCAAUUUUAUUACAUACAUUUAUUACAACAUACAGUGACUGGUGAGACCAUGACUACUUAUACAGAGGCCAGAAACCAACAUGGCGGCAGUGAACUGACACCUGGCUCUAUGAGCAGUCCUCAGUCAGUAAGUGAAAUACUCGGUGAGUAAAAUUUCCCAGGGCUGUUUUAUCUUCUUUGCUUGCAGAAAUCAACUGCCUGGUACUGGACGUGAGUCCCACAGCGCUGGAGGUUUUACUUUCUCAGCAAAGUGUUUCCACAAAGGGUUUAUAUCUUGAUGUUUAUGUGAGCAGUGCAAAAUCUACUGGCCUGAAUGCUAAAUGGGCAAAUACAAACGUUUGUACGUCACAAAUUGAAUGACAGGUGAUAGCAUGAUUGUAUUUUAUAAUCCAAGCAUAGAUUUAUAUACUGUAAGAGCAAAUCAAAAUGUUUUGUAUGUGUCAAUAUCAGUCAAGUUAAGAUCAAUGUCUUUGUUUUAAAUAAAUGUCAAAACUGUAAGUUGGUUUGUAAUGUGGGCAAAGAACAUGUAGCUUUACUUUUAAAUGUCAGCUUUGGUGGUUGUGCUGUUAAGGUGCAAUAUAAGAUGUGGCCAGAACUUUAAUCAAGACCUCCAUCUGUUGUAUUUCAGAGUCAUCUACUAAAAUGAGCAUGUGCACCAGCCAGCCCUGACCUGUCCUGUAUUAUAAUACCACUUUGCAACACUAGACGCUGUGUGAGUCAGCGGAGCGUCAAGUCUGCCCUCAGUCCCACGAAGAAGAACAACUUCCGGCAGAGCUUGAAGUUAGCAUCACAGAAACACAGGAAUGGCUGAACCUCCUAAAAGGUGAUAUUCAUCUUCAUCCUGAAGGACCGCUCCCGACAAGAAGCCACGUUCAACGACAAAGAAAAGAAACAACAUGAGACCUGAGCCAGUACAGAUGCAAUACCACCUCCACCUGUCUCACCCACGGCAGAGAGUCAAGACACAGUGUCUAGGACCAGAAGUCCAGUCUAAUCACCAAUGACGGACCAGCACCUGCCUUUUCUUCUGCAUCUGGCCUCAUCAAUCAUCAAGCACAUUACAUCAACACCUUGCGGGAUGGCAGAAUCCACCUGGGGCAAGAAAUGCUCACAUCAUGUGCUGUAGUACAGUGGAUGGAUGGGCAUUGGUUGAGAAAACUAAGGUUGUCACAUGACUCACUGUCACAGGGUGAGGAGCCCUGGAGAGAGAUCAUCAGUUUCACCUGAACCUCAAGUUGUGUUAGUAAGUUAUAUCAUAAGUUUAUUGCGCUACAGUGACUCACUAUCGCUUGAGGAACAAAGUGGUAUUACAAGUUGAGAUGGACUGUUCAGGACAUCUACCCACCAGUUACACAGUGAACUUCUUAAGGCAAUCUGCAGUCGCUUAUUUCUGCCCCAUAAACCCCAUCACCAUUCUGUUCAAAGAAAUGCAUUUUAUUAAGCGUUGCUGUAUAUUGAAAAACUUUAAAUAAAGGGUU